UAGGCAUCAGUGGCAGCGUAGGAUUUUUGAGCAUCGCUGAGAGGUUGAAUGUGCCACUUACUGCGUCGUACUUUAGGAUCUUUGGAAAUUUCUUUUUGAAGCUAAUAUUGAGAUACAUCGAUUUAAUGAUGCCAACUGGGUUUUGUGAGAGUUCGAUUACUGCCGUUUGAUUAUGAAGACAAGAGUAUCCGCAAGUGUAUUACCCAUUUAAUUUCCUAGUAAUGUUAACAUAAAAUUAACUCACCACAUAAGCUGUAAGAUUUGCCAUGCUCCAUCGACACGAUCGAUUUAGUGUUGCAUUUGCAAAUGUACCACAAUCAAUGCAAUUAUUUUCAACAACCUUUUGAGAUGGGAAUUCUUUGAAAUCUCUACCAAGUUUCCAUACGUCACUAAAAAAAAAACGUUAUUUGGCUACGUUUUCUAUUGCACCAAAUACAGUUAAUGAAAACAGAUUUCAUAAAACAAUAAUGUCUUAAAUACUCUGUUGCCAAGAUAUGACAUGUAUUGCUCAUCUGACUAUUUAAGAACGAACUUUUCAACAAGAAGGAAGCAAUUAAAAAGUAUAAAGACUGAGAGAACACAUCUGCUACUCUUACAAAUGUACUAAGUAUACUAGUUAUGGUUUUUCAUCUAUCAUUAUAAAAUUUACCGAUGUAUCAUGUACAUCAAGUUUUGAUUGUUCACAUUGGAUUUAUAACUUAUAUUGUUACCAGUGCUCCAUAAAAGUAUUUAUACAGAUAAAUCAGUGCACUAAUUGCCACUAAACUGAAUUACCAAGACUCAUUUAUCCUGUAAGAACUAUUUAACAGAAUUUAAUAUUAAGUACCGUUGAGUUUGCGAUCAAGCUUAAUCGAUUGAAACUUAAGGUACAUGACUCAUCUUUAUUACCCCUAAAACAGUGUAUUGAGUCUAUUUUCAACACGAUCGUAUUUGUAA